UACGUAGGGCGCAAGCGUUGUCCGGAAUUAUUGGGCGUAAAGAGCUCGUAGGCGGCUUGUCACGUCGGAUGGGAAAGCCCGGGGCUUAACUCCGGGUCUGCAUUCGAUACGGGCUGGCUAGAGUGUGGUAGGGGAGAUCGGAAUUCCUGGUGUAGCGGUGAAAUGCGCAGAUAUCAGGAGGAACACCGGUGGCGAAGGCGGAUCUCUGGGCCAUUACUGACGCUGAGGAGCGAAAGCGUGGGGAGCGAACAGG
rnacentral:rRNA from 1 species